GUGGUUACUUCGGUAGCACAUAUACUAAAAUUGGAAUAAUAUAGAGAAGAUUCGCAUGGCCUCUGUGCAAAGAUGACACACAAACUCCUGAAGCAUCCCAUAAUUCU